rnacentral:sRNA from 1 species
CCGCCCAAUGCGCCGCCCACACCGGCUUCGGUGGUGCCACCGGCCAUGGCUGCGCCACUGACCAGGCCAAGGGACAACAAGAGAAUCGAGGAAAACUUCAUAGAGAGACCUCAAGAGGAUGACGGCGCGAUCCUGAGGUUGUAUCGGGAUGCUGACAAUCGAAAACCGACCAGUGGUACAGGUUGUAUACAAUUCUCUAAGUUGCUGUUUUGUAUGGGGAACUUAAGUGGGUUUUGCGAGUCUUUAGCUACUUCGGAACGGCCGCUUUUAUGCAAAAGCGGCCUUUUUUGUGCCUGGGAUUUUCAGUAGCCGUGGCGAGCGGCUUGUUGUGGUGAGCGGGCUUGCCCCGCGUUGGGCUGCGAA